rnacentral:rRNA from 1 species
AACGCUGGCGGCGCGCUUAACACAUGCAAGUCGAACGAGAAAGUGGAGCAAUCCAUGAGUACAGUGGCGUACGGGUGAGUAACGCGUGGGUAAUCUACCUUUUAGUGUGGAAUAACCCUGGGAAACCGGGGCUAAUACCGCAUAAGCUCGAGAGAGGAAAGUCGCAAGACGCUGAAAGAGGAGCCCGCGGCCGAUUAGCUAGUUGGCAGGGUAAGAGCCUACCAAGGCAGAGAUCGGUAGCCGGCCUGAGAGGGCACACGGCCACACUGGCACUGAAACACGGGCCAGACUCCUACGGGAGGCAGCAGUGGGGAAUCUUGCACAAUGGGGGCAACCCUGAUGCAGCGACGCCGCGUGAGCGAUGAAGCCCUUCGGGGUGUAAAGCUCUUUCGUCAGGGACG